GGUGAGGAAUAUUAGCACAAUGGGCGAAAGCCUGAUGCAGCAACGCCGCGUGAGGGAUGACGGCCUUCGGGUUGUAAACCUCUUUUAGCAGGGAAGAAGCGAAAGUGACGGUACCUGCAGAAAAAGCGCCGGCUAACUACGUGCCAGCAGCCGCGGUAAUGA
rnacentral:rRNA from 1 species